CAGAUACCUUCUCGAAACAAAAGAUUUUCCUACCUGCUUAUACUUGGUAACCGAGGGAAUUUCUAAGACUUCUUGCUCAUUUCUGAGUAUUGUCUUUAUAUCCUGACACUAUGAAUGCUACUUGGAUGCCUCUUAAGGGUCUCUUCUGCAGGGUCCCCAUGAAUUGUGGCUGAAGUUGUGCACAAACAAGUAUCUCCAGUGACAGGAGUGCCUUCUGAGGCAGCCAUUGCAUCUUCAUCUGCUGACACUCUGCUAGGCUGACUUCUGUAGUUUUCACCACUGAUCUUCAGUCCACCUCACAGAGCUCUAUAAAACGCUUAAAUCCUCUUUACAUCAUAGACUUUCAGCUACUUGAAGAUAGCCAUCAGCCGCUACGUGACUCUUUUCUCCAGGAUCUCCCUAAUACUAUGAACGCGGCAGAGAUAACGGACAAGCUCGGCCUCCAUUCCCUCCGCUACAGAAACUGGCACAUUCAGGCUACUUGUGCCACUACUGGACAUGGGCUUUACGAAGGCCUGAACUGGCUCGCCAACCAGUUCCAGAACCAGAACUGAUCAGAAGGAUCUAUUCUUUGUGCCUUGUGGCCACAUCAGCUAGCCUCUGCUGUGUGCACGUGUACGUGUGUGCUGGGAGUGGAGGCAGCUUUCUCACAGUGCCUUAUCCAUGCCAUAAGAAAAGCAGUGUUACAUUUUAAGAAACCCAGUGUUAAGUUUUAAACACCACCUUCCAUUUCAGUAGCUUUGAUGAUCAUUUUUGCAAUUGAUGGAGAAGUCCAGAGGGCUUGCUGGUGCUCGAAGGCCAGAGCGGGCUUCAUGGAGGCGAGUUGGAGCGGGGACUGAGUUCAGCUGUUGCAAUCCUGGUCUGGCGUCUGGAGUCCUGUUAGUCUUUGGCAUCCUUUCGUAAAAAGGAAGGAAUUGUCAUUCUUUUUUUUUUAAAACCAUAUUUUUACUGUACCUUUUCAUGUUUAUUUAUUUUUUAUUAAAAAAAUUUUUUUUGAAACAGCCUCCCACUCUGUCGCCCAAGCUGGAGUGCAGUGGUGCGAUCUCAGCUCACUGCAACCUCCGUCUCUCGGGCUCAAGCAAUCCUCCCACCUCAGCCCCCUGAGUAGCUGAGACUAUGGGUGUGCACCACCACACCUGGCUAAUUUUUGUAUUUUUUGUGGAGACAGGGUCUUGCCAUGUUGCCCAGGCUGGUCUGUAACUCCUGAGCUCAAGGGAUCCACCCACCUCAGCCUUCCAAAAUGCUGGGAUUACAGGCAUGAGCCACUGCGCUACCGAGAAAUCGUCAUUCUUUACCACCACUGCUGCAGCUAGCAGCUCACUCUUCAGUGCUUUAAGCAAAUGAUCCUCAGGAAAGAAAAGGUAUUUGCUUAUUGCAGGUGCAAAGAGGCUCAGAUUGGAACUUUUCCCUGAAACUAUAUUGUAGCCCAGAGUUCCUGAUGUAAGACGCUUUAUUUAAAGACAUCCGUGAGCUUUUUCACUGGCAUAUCAAUACUUCAUAACACUAGGAAGGUAUCCAGCCUUUUCCUUAUGCUAGUUCCUUCCCUUAUUUGCCAGAUGGGGACCCUGUGGGGAGGUGACCCAGUGUGAGGCCGAAGCUCUUUCCCAGAGCCCCACAGGCCAGUGGAGGGUCGUGUUUGUGCUCUGGGCAUCACCGUCUUGGGUCUCGGUCCCCUGCGACUGCAGCUGCUACAUCCCUCCCUGCUCUGAGAUAAAUGUUCUUCCCAUGAAGCAGACGGUUCACUUUUGGGAUGGCGCUGUCUCCAGGUUUGGCUGUCUCAGUCCAGAUGAUGUUUGGUUAGUUUCCAUUCCCAGAACCACAAGCCUUUGAGUUCUGAAAGUUUGUGACAGAAUCAAGAGGCUAAUUUGGGAGAUGUGAGAUUCCCAGCCCACCUGGUAUUGCCCUCGAGUUAGUGGUAAAUUUUGCUAUGGAAAAUAUCUCUUGUCAAGACCAAGCUCCGGCGCAUUGCCUCCCUCUUUUGGAUGGCCAUGGCAUCUCAUGAACCACUUGGAAAUGUGUUUUAUGUUGUUCUCCAAAUAUUAAUAAAAAUAUCCCGGAGAGGAGGUUCACUAAGUAGCCUAGAGCUCGUUUGUCCAGACAAUUGUUGGCCAUAUGUUGAAGAUUAUUCUCUCUUCUAAAGAAAAUAGAAGAAUAUUAGGAGAAAAGACACUUGAAAAUGUUCACUCUUUUAUUCACAUUACAUCAUCUGUCUUGAAUAAUGGGUCUAUCUCUUUCCUGUUGCUCUGGCCCUGAAAAAAAAAUUAGCUUUUUAAGGCUGCUUUUGUUACGUGUGCAUUUUCUUGUAAUCCCGUCAUUCUGGGAUUUAAUAAUAAUAGUAUUAAUACCACCUACCAUUUGUUGGUUACUUACUGUGUUUUAGGCACUGUGCUAAACGCCUU
rnacentral:lncRNA from 1 species